UGCAGUGUAGUUUAAUUAGAAUCCUUGCUUUACACGCGAGAGGACCUGUUGGGGGCUGUAACA
rnacentral:tRNA from 1 species